UACGGGGGGAGCAAGCGUUGUUCGGAUUUACUGGGCGUAAAGGGCGCGUAGGCGGCCAGCACAAGUCAGUUGUGAAAUCUCCGAGCUUAACUCGGAAAGGUCAACUGAUACUGUGCGGCUAGAGUGCGGAAGGGGCAACUGGAAUUCUUGGUGUAGCGGUGAAAUGCGUAGAUAUCAGGAGGAACACCGGUGGCGAAGGCGGGUCUCUGGGCAGUAACUGACGCUGAGGAGCGAAAGCGUGGGGAGCGAACAGG
rnacentral:rRNA from 1 species